rnacentral:rRNA from 1 species
UACGGAGGUCCCGAGCGUUGUUCGGAUUCACUGGGCGUAAAGGGUGCGUAGGUGGCAUGGUAAGUUUGAUGUGAAAGCUCAGGGCUCAACCCUGAAAUGGCAUUGAAUACUACUGUGCUGGAGGUUUGGAGGGGGGACUGGAAUUCUCGGUGUAGCAGUGAAAUGCGUAGAUAUCGAGAGGAACACCAGUGGCGAAGGCGAGUCCCUGGACAACACCUGACACUGAGGCACGAAAGCUAGGGGAGCAAACAGG